GACGAACGCUGGCGGCGUGCUUAACACAUGCAAGUCGAACGGAAAGGCCCUUCUUUUGUGGGGUUCUCGAGUGGCGAACGGGUGAGUAACACGUGAGUAACCUGCCCUUGACGUUGGGAUAACUUCAGGAAACUGGGGCUAAUACCGGAUAGGAGCUCCUGCUGCAUGGUGGGGGUUGGAAAGUUUAGGCGGUUGGGGAUGGACUGGCGGGUUAUCAGCUUGUUGGUGGAGUAGUGGCUUACCAAGGCUUUGACGGGUAGCCGGCAUGAGAGGGUGACCGGCGCCCAUGGGCCUACGAUACGGAGCAGACUGCUACGGGAGGCAGUAGUGGAGAGUCUUGCACAGUAGGCGGAAGCGUGUUGCAGAAGCGCCGGGUGCGGGAUGAAGGCCUUCGGGUUGUAAACCGCUUUCGCCUGUGACGAAGCGUGAGUGACGGUACUGGGUAAAGAAGCACCGGCUAACUACGUG
rnacentral:rRNA from 1 species